rnacentral:rRNA from 1 species
UUGAACGCUGGCGGCAGGCCUAACACAUGCAAGUCGAGCGGUUGAGAGUAGCUUGCUACUUGAUGCAGCGGCGGACGGGUGAGUAACGCGUGGGAAUCUGCCCAGUAGUGGGGGACAACAGCCGGAAACGGCUGCUAAUACCGCAUACGCCCCACGGGGGAAAGGGGGGGAUCUUCGGACCUCUCGCUAUUGGAUGAGCCCGCGUCGGAUUAGCUAGUUGGUAGGGUAAAGGCCUACCAAGGCUACGAUCCGUAACUGGUCUGAGAGGAUGAUCAGUCACACUGGAACUGAGACACGGUCCAGACACCUACGGGAGGAAGCAGUGGGGAAUAUUGGACAAUGGGGGAAACACUGAUCCAGCCAUGCCGCGUGUGUGAAGAAGGCCUUAGGGUUGUAAAGCACUUUCAGUGGGGAGAAAGGUUUGUCACCUAAUACGUGAUGAAAUUGAUGUUACCCACAGAAGAAGCACCGGCUAACUCCGUGCCAGCAGCCGCCGUAA